GAUGAACGCUGGCGGCGUGCCUAAUACAUGCAAGUCGAGCGAACGGACGAGAAGCUUGCUUUUCUGAUGUUAGCGGCGGACGGGUGAGUAACACGUGGAUAACCUACCUAUAAGACUGGGAUAACUUCGGGAAACCGGAGCUAAUACCGGAUAAUAUUUUGAACCGCAUGGUUCAAAAGUGAAAGACGGUCUUGCUGUCACUUAUAGAUGGAUCCGCGCUGCAUUAGCUAGUUGGUAAGGUAACGGCUUACCAAGGCAACGAUGCAUAGCCGACCUGAGAGGGUGAUCGGCCACACUGGAACUGAGACACGGUCCAGACUCCUACGGGAGGCAGCAGUAGUGAAUCUUCCGCAAUGGGCGAAAGCCUGACGGAGCAACGCCGCGUGAGUGAUGAAGGUCUUCGGAUCGUAAAACUCUGUUAUUAGGGAAGAACAUAUGUGUAAGUAACUGUGCACAUCUUGACGGUACCUAAUCAGAAAGCCACGGCUAACUACGUG
rnacentral:rRNA from 1 species